UUGGAGGGCAAGUCUGGUGCCCGCAGCCGCGGUAAUUCCAGCUCCAAUAGCGUAUAUUAAAGUUGUUGCAGUUAAAAAGCUCGUAGUUGAAUUUCGGGAUCAAUUUAUUGGUCGUGCCAACGGUACGCACUGGUACAAUUGGUUUCUCCCUUCUGACGAAGCAUGAUGUCAUUAAUUUGAUGUCGUGGGGAAUCAGGACUGUUACUUUGAAAAAAUUAGAGUGUUUAAAGCAGGCUUUGGCUUGAAUACAUUAGCAUGGAAUAAUGAAAUAGGACGUUUGAUCUUAUUUCGUUGGUUUCUAAGAUCGACGUAAUGAUUAAUAGGGAUAGUUGGGGGCAUUAGUAUUCAAUUGUCAGAGGUGAAAUUCUUGGAUUUAUUGAAGACUAACUACUGCGAAAGCAUUUGCCAAGGAUGUUUUCAUUAAUCAAGAACGAAAGUUAGGGGAUCGAAGACGAUCAGAUACCGUCGUAGUCUUAACCAUAAACUAUGCCGACUAGGGAUCGGAUGAUGUUAAUUUUUUAAUGACUCAUUCGGCGCCUUACGGGAAAC
rnacentral:rRNA from 1 species